UAGCUAGUUGGUGAGGUAAAGGCUCACCAAGGCGACGAUCUGUAGCGGGUCUGAGGGGAUGAUCCGCCACACUGGAACUGAGACACGGUCCAGACUCCUACGGGAGGCAGCAGUGGGGAAUUUUGGACAAUGGGGGCAACCCUGAUCCAGCCAUGCCGCGUGAGUGAAGAAGGCCUUCGGGUUGUAAAGCUCUUUCGGCCGGGAAGAAAUCGCAUGGGCCAAUACCCUGUGCGGAUGACGGUACCGGCAUAAGAAGCACCGGCUAACUACGUGCCAGCAGCCGCGGUAAUACGUAGGGUGCGAGCGUUAAUCGGAAUUACUGGGCGUAAAGCGUGCGCAGGCGGUUUUGUAAGACAGGCGUGAAAUCCCCGGGCUCAACCUGGGAACUGCGUUUGUGACUGCAAGGCUAGAGUACGGCAGAGGGGGGUGGAAUUCCACGUGUAGCAGUGAAAUGCGUAGAGAUGUGGAGGAACACCAAUGGCGAAGGCAGCCCCCUGGGUCGAUACUGACGCUCAUGCACGAAAGCGUGGGUAGCAAACAGGAUUAGAUACCCUGGUAGUCCACGCCCUAAACGAUGUCAACUAGGUGUUGGGUGGGUAAAACCAUUUAGUACCGGAGCUAACGCGUGAAGUUGACCGCCUGGGGAGUACGGCCGCAAGGUUAAAACUCAAAGGAAUUGACGGGGACCCGCACAAGCGGUGGAUGAUGUGGAUUAAUUCGAUGCAACGCGAAAAACCUUACCUACCCUUGACAUGUCCAGAAGCCUGAAGAGAUUUGGGUGUGCCCGAAAGGGAACUGGAACACAGGUGCUGCAUGGCUGUCGUCAGCUCGUGUCGUGAGAUGUUGGGUUAAGUCCCGCAACGAGCGCAACCCUUGUCGUUAAUUGCCAUCAUUCAGUUGGGCACUUUAACGAGACUGCCGGUGACAAACCGGAGGAAGGUGGGGAUGACGUCAAGUCCUCAUGGCCCUUAUGGGUAGGGCUUCACACGUCAUACAAUGGUCGGUACAAAGGGUUGCCAAGCCGCGAGGUGGAGCCAAUCCCAGAAAGCCGAUCGUAGUCCGGAUCGUAGGCUGCAACUCGCCUGCGUGAAGUCGGAAUCGCUAGUAAUCGUGGAUCAGCAUGUCACGGUGAAUACGUUCCCGGGUCUUGUACACACCGCCCGUCACACCAUGGGAGCGGGUUCCGCCAGAAGUAGGUAGCCUAACCGCAAGGGGGGCGCUUACCACGGCGGGGUUCGUGACUGGGGUGAAGUCGUAACAAGGUAGCCGUAGGGGAACCUGCGGCUG
rnacentral:rRNA from 1 species